GAGGAAGGCGGGGGGCGUGCUUAACACAUGCAAGUCGAACGGAAAGGCCCUGCUUUUGUGGGGUGCUCGAUUGGCGAACGGGUGAGUAACACGUGAGUAACCUGCCCUUGUCUUUCUGAUAUCUUUAGGAAACUGGGGCUAAUACCGGAUAGAAUCUCCUGCUGCAUGGUGGUGGAUGGAAAGUGUCGGCGGUUGUGGAUGGACUCGCUGCUUAUGCGCUGGUUUGUGAGGUAGGGGCUUUCCAAGGUUUUGACGGGUAGGCGGCCUGGGAGCGUGGACGGGCACAUUGGGACUGAGGUACGGCCCAGUAUGCAACGGGAGGCAGCAGUGGGGAACAUGGCACAAUGGGCGGAAGUGUGAGACAGAAGCGCCGCGAGCGGGAUACCGGGUUUCGGGUUGUAAACCGAUUUCGACUGUGACGAAGACUGAGUGACGGUACUGGAUAAAAAAGCACCGGCUAACUACGUG
rnacentral:rRNA from 1 species